UAAAUUGAAAUGAAAAGUCCUUUUCUUUUAAAAGGAACGAAGAACGGCCUCCAUUUCAGAAAAAAAUUCGCCAUCGGAGAAGUUCUUUUCUCCAGACGAAGAAGUUAAAAUUUUCUCCUUUUCUUCAGCCAAAAGUGUUUUUGGCUGGUAAUUUACAUUUUUCUCCCCCAAAAACCGUUCUUCCCUCUUGUUCUUUGCCUGAGAUAUCAAGUUCUUUGCCUUUGUUUCUUUUCCUCUGGUUUUUUGUUCCUCUUCCGCCGGUGAGUUUCUUUUCUUCUUCUUCUCUUUAAUUAUUCAUUCUGCUUUGUUUUUAGUUAUUUUCUGAUUGUUUAGAGUUUAGCAAAAAUUUUACAGAAAUUUUACAUUCUUCGAUUGUUCACCCUCUCUCUAUUGAAUUUGCGUCUGGGUUCCGAACCCCAACGCAUGGAUUCUGUUAAAACUGCUUUGUUUAAUAGGCACAGUAAUUACAGAUGAGCCCAAAUUGAUUAGCAUACAGAUGAGCCCCAAUUGAUUAGCAUCGCCGUUUACGACACCGACCGGGAUAGAAUGCAAAACAUUGUCGCCAAGGUUGCCGCGGUGGGAAGCGGAAGUAUCCAUACUUACUAUCUACUAUAAUAUCUCACUUUCUCUUUCUACACCCAUUAAUAAACAAAAAUUAAAUCCCCACUCCUCUGAUCUUUUUUUUAGAUUUAUUAUUAUCAUUAUUUUGUUAACUUUAAAAACUUGAAAUUCACAGUUUCAGGGUCUGUUUGUAAUGUGCCGCUACUUUGGCAAGGAAUGGAAUUUCAGUGACCCUUUUUGACUCUGCCAGGGGUCCUGGUGGCCGCAUGUCUCAAAGAAGGUUCCUUUUUUGUUUCUCUCCACUUAUUUUUUAUUAAAAAUUCAUUUUCUUUGACGAAUUUUGACUGCCCUUUUUUAUAUUCUAUUAUUUGCUGGUGUUUUGGGAUGCAGAAAUAAAAUUUUAAAGUGCAUAGUUUAAUGAAUUUUUGUUGUUUUUGGUAAUAUGUAACAUUGGGAAUUUAGAGAGAUAAGUGAAGAUGGGAGAGAGCUGUUAUUCGAUCAUGGUGCUCCUUAUUUCACAGUGACAAAUCUCGAUGUGUUGAGCGUUGUUACUGAGUGGGAAUCAAGAGGCCUUGUUGCUGAAUGGAAAUAGAAUUUUGGGUCUUUUGAUUGUUUCACCAACAAAAUUGUCAACACUGAACGCUAGGUUCUUGUAACUAUUAUUAUACUAUUUGUUCUUCACUUUUUUUUGCUCCACCUAAUGGUACUAUUAUUUGUUUAUUUGCAUGGUUUUAUCUUAAUUAUAUCUUAACUUGCUUAUGAGGAGAGGGCAACGAUGUUUUUGAAUUGCUUAUGUGCAUGAAUUGAUGUUUUUUUCUUGAUUUCUUAGAAGCUUGGAACUACUCUUUUUUUUUUUUUUUUAAGUUAAUAGGAUACUGUUAAACGUUAAUGAUCCUUGCUAUAGCUGCUUCAUAAGUGCUUGCUUGCUAUAUUGUUCUUUUUUAUGUUCAUGCACUCUUCAGAUUGAUUCACUUGUAGGGUUCUUUCAUUUAACCCUUCAUCAGCUUAGGCUGUUUAUGAUUGUAUUAUGUUUUCAAUUAAAAGGUCAGCAUAUCUAUGUAAAGUGUUGCAUAGUUGGUCAACGUCCAGCUCCAUUAUUGAUUCUGAUGUUUAUAUUCUAUAUAUAUUCUCACAGAUGCCCAUUUUUUAGACAAAUAAAAACUGGUGAUAUGUUUUAAACUCUACUAUUUGGUAUUAUUGCUUUAGUUCUCUGUUUGAUACACUGGAAAUUCUAAAAUCUGGAGAAAGAUUAGCUGCUUCAGAAGUGGGACUACUUUCUACAGUUGGUGUUACUAUGGUGAAGGUACUACAUUGCCUACUGUUUUCAUUUUAAUGACUUCUCAAAAGCUUGUUCAGCUUCCUAAAACAAAAUUUGUGUAAGGUUAAAUUCUCUAAUUAGGCUUGAAGGUUCUUUCUGAAGCACCUCCCUUCCUAAAGACGGAUCCAAUUCGGCCAGAAUUUUAUCAUGCUACUAUCAGAUGGGAGGCUAAUGAUGGAUCGGAGAGUGCAAGAUUUGUCGUUGAGAGCACUGGUCACCAAAUGAGUAGUCGGCUUCUGAGUAUGAAGUCAGCUAAUGCUUUGAAGUUAUGUUUGGUCAUAAUCCGUAAAGAAACUUUCUUGCUAAAUGAGGAAAAAGUAUGAAGCAUGGUAUUUUUAUUUCGCUGCAUAUGAAGUGGAAUUGCCUUUCUAGGGGUGGCUGCUUGUAUACAUGUCAUAUGGGGGUUAAGGAUGCCAUAGUGAGGCGACACUACUAUGCGGGCGAGUAAGAUGAGAGCCACUGGCUGACAAUUUCUUUUUUCCUUUGGAUGCUCAACACAUAUGACAUGCUGCAAAAUUGUUUCUUGCCAAUGAUUUAUUUUAUGUUCUUAUGAACAAAGUUCGACUCUGAUCUUUGAUGUAGUUUUAUGUCAUUAUCAUGAAAUGUAGGCAGAACCUAAAAACUAUUUCUUUGUUUAUGAGGCUACUUUGUUAGUGGCUUAUUGGCAAUGAUAUUUUCUGGAUGUGUAUUAUUCAACCAUCUAUUUAUA